rnacentral:rRNA from 1 species
GAUGAACGCUGGCGGCGUGCCUAAUACAUGUAAGUCGAACGGAGUAUUAGCAAUAAUACUUAGUGGCGAACGGGUGAGUAACGCGUUGGUGACCUGCCCCGAAGAGAGGGAUAACAGUUCGAAAGGACUGCUAAUACCGCAUAAUAUCUCACUAGUCAGAGAGGUGAGAUGAAAGGAGCAAUCCACUUUGGGAGGGGCCUGCGUCCCAUCAGCUAGUUGGUAAGGUAAAAGCCUACCAAGGCGAAGACGGGUAGGGGACCUGAGAGGGUGAUCCCCCACACUGGCACUGAAACACGGGCCAGACACCUACGGGUGGCAG